GACGAACGCUGGCGGCGUGCCUAAUACAUGCAAGUAGAACGCUGAAGCUUGGUGCUUGCACCGAGCGGAUGAGUUGCGAACGGGUGAGUAACGCGUAGGUAACCUGCCUGGUAGCGGGGGAUAACUAUUGGAAACGAUAGCUAAUACCGCAUAAGAGUAGAUGUUGCAUGACAUUUGCUUAAAAGGUGCAAUUGCAUCACUACCAGAUGGACCCGCGUUGUAUUAGCUAGUUGGUGAGGUAACGGCUCACCAAGGCAACGAUACAUAGCCGACCUGAGAGGGUGAUCGGCCACACUGGGACUGAGACACGGCCCAGACUCCUACGGGAGGCAGCAGUAGGGAAUCUUCGGCAAUGGACGGAAGUCUGACCGAGCAACGCCGCGUGAGUGAAGAAGGUUUUCGGAUCGUAAAGCUCUGUUGUAAGAGAAGAACGAGUGUGAGAGUGGAAAGUUCACACUGUGACGGUAUCUUACCAGAAAGAGACGGCUAACUACGUG
rnacentral:rRNA from 1 species